UAACAUAGGAAGAGGGUAAAUGCUUCAAUGAGAUGCCUUCAAUUACUUCACUCCAGUGGAGACAGCAGUAUCAACAAAGCUAAUGAAGCUCAUGGGAAUAUGACCUUAGAUCACCUUUCUUCCUCAGAUAAGGAAAUAUUUAAUAUGAAGAAUUCUAAGCUAAAAUUGCCUCUGAUUUGUAAAAAACAAACCAAGCCAAAAAAAAAAACUCCUUAUGAUCCCUUAUGGAAACUAAAGUUCUACCAUUAGUUCUUGGGGUCCCCACAUUUCCUUCCUGCUCUACAAAAGGAUAUAUAGAAAAGGGCGAUUUAAGAUAGGGGUAACUAGAGGUUUGUCCGAAGGUGCUGAACUAAGCUGACACUGUUAACACAAAGUACAUGAAACACAGAAGAAAAAAAGAGAGCUUAACAUCUAGAAGAAAAAAAUAAGAAGCUGUGAAAAAAGGAUGAUGGCUGAUAAAUUCCCAUCCCCACUCUGCCCUGCACCCUACUCACUUCUAUGGAGUGGCCUCACCAACAGCCUCAUGCUAGUUUCUCAGGGUCUCUGUAUGCCUCCAACAAGGCAUUACCUCAACACUGUCUCACCUGAGAGCACUUUCAUGCCAUUUAUAUUCUGGCAUAGACUGUGAUAGCACCCUAGAAAUUCUAUUUGGGAGAAAAACAAAAGUGAUUGAGGCUUUAAAAUUUGCCUGUAUUGAUGCCAAGCCUGCUAUCUAUGGUCUGGUAGAAGAGAACCUUACCCUCCUGAACUUGCCACACAGUUUGUCUACACCUCCCAAUUCCUACCUGUAGGGACUGUCCAGUCAUCACGCCCCGAUAAUCCAGCAGCUUCUCCAGGAGGCCUUUGACAAGAAUUACAAAGUUCUCCACAGACUUGGUGAUACUUGGAUGAUGUUCAGCACACUCUACCAAUCUGCAAGCAGAAAGAAAAAGUGAAACAGCCAUUCAAAUGUUUGAGGACAGCUGUCCUGUCCCUCCUAGGUGUGCUCUUCUCCAGACUACCCAGCACUUUGCAGUCUCCUGCUCACUCAUCAUUCUGGCUGCCCACCUCUGAAUCUGAUCCAGCUGAUCAGUGUCCUUCCAAAGAUGUUACCCAUGGAACUGACCACAAUUGUCCAGCUGUGUGAGGUUCAACUAUUGGAUAGCGAGAUGGGGCCAAGGGAGGAGGAGGAAGAGAGUUGGCAUGCUGGCACACCCUCAAGGAACAUUACAACUAGUCCUUGUCAUGAAGAGAAAGAACCAAAGGAAUUGUUCCAUUAGGAUUUGCUUGCAGAAUACAGACAUGGGAAAUAAAUUUGAUUGUCUACCAAUGUUCCAUCAGAAAUCCUUCCAUGACAUCUGCUAAGAAUUUCAUCAUAGCCUCCCAUAAGCAGCUUGUGAGAUUAGGAUUGCUUUAGGUCUGAGCUGUGGCCUUUCUCUGUGUCCCCCUAAUAAUGGAGAGCUCAAUGAAGCAGGAUUGGCAAGGAGAAAAGCUUUUUGAGGGCACAACUGGUUUUGGAAAGAGGAGAUGUUAGUAGCAUGGUCAAGAGGCCAUGAAAAUUGAGAUCAUUGUGGAAAUUCAGUGCUCAGUUCUGUCAAUCUCCAAACAAGUCAUCUGCUAAAUAGUUAUCUGCCUUAUGGGAUCAGAGAGUUGAAACUGCAUAGAGAUCUUUGAGGUCAGCUAAUUCAAUCCUCCUAUUUUAUGGGCAUGGGGUAUGAAGGACUAAGACUCAAGUAGCUUAAAGGGUGAUUUGCCCAUGCCACAGAAGAAAUUGUGAAGACUGGAUUUAGCUAUCUCCUGAUUGCAACAACGAAGGUACUUAGUUCUUCUUUAUUGGGAAGAUUUAAUUGCAACCCACAAUCUAUUUUUAGAUUUUAAUUCCCCAAAAGUGGUAACUCCGUAUUUGAAGUAGAUCUACCAUUUUAACUACUAAAGGUGUUAUCUAAUAAAAAAAGGUAUAAUCUAACCCAGAUGUGAACUUAAGAGUGGGCAGUCCUGGAGAGGAGCGUCUGCUGUGAUUGGUAGAUGUGAAAUUUAGGGGAGGUGACACAAGACAAAAAGAUUUUUAAAAAGAGGACCACAUGGGCCAGAAGAUUCAUUCAAAGACAUUUGAGAUUCAUUCAAGCAUUCAAGAUUUGUGAUAGAGGGAAGAAGAGUCACUUGGAGGAGAGAUUGAAAGAUGGACACUCAGACUUUGCUGUGGAACUGGAUCCCCCACUCACCCCAGGAGCUCAUGCAGGAGACCUCAGACUGCUUUUCCUUUUAGAUGGUCACCAUUGGUGAGUGAAAGACUGACUUAGUGACCCUGCCUUUCUGGAGGUAAAAAUCUCUGAUAAAGGCCCAUUGUCUUGAAACUAUUUUUCCCUGAUUAGGGCCUUAAAAUUUUCUACCUGGCUCUGAGGAAGUAGAGCUCUGUCUCUCUUUCUCUCUGUCUCUGUCUCUCUCUCUCUCUCUCUGUCUCUCUCUCUGUCUCUGUCUCUCUCUCUCUCUCUCUCUGUCUCUCUCUGUCUCUCUCUGUCUCUCUCCCUUUAUCUCAUUCCUUAAUAUCUUCUCUCUAUUGUAAAUAAACUACCAUAAAUUCCAUUUACUCUA